UACGUAGGGUGCAAGCGUUAUCCGGAAUUAUUGGGCGUAAAGAGCUCGUAGGCGGUUUGUCGCGUCUGCCGUGAAAACUGGAGGCUCAACCUCCAGCCUGCGGUGGGUACGGGCAAACUAGAGUGCGGUAGGGGAGAUUGGAAUUCCUGGUGUAGCGGUGGAAUGCGCAGAUAUCAGGAGGAACACCGAUGGCGAAGGCAGGUCUCUGGGCAUUAACUGACGCUGAGGAGCGAAAGCAUGGGGAGCGAACAGG
rnacentral:rRNA from 1 species